rnacentral:rRNA from 1 species
UACGGAGGAUCCGAGCGUUAUCCGGAUUUAUUGGGUUUAAAGGGUGCGUAGGCGGCUUUUUAAGUCAGGGGUGAAAGACGGUAGCUUAACUAUCGCAGUGCCUUUGAUACUGAAGAGCUUGAAUAUACUUGAGGUAGGCGGAAUGUGACAAGUAGCGGUGAAAUGCAUAGAUAUGUCACAGAACACCAAUUGCGAAGGCAGCUUACUAAAGUAAGAUUGACGCUGAGGCACGAAAGCGUGGGGAGCGAACAGG